rnacentral:rRNA from 1 species
GUCUACGGCCAUACCACCCUGAACGCGCCCGAUCUCGUCUGAUCUCGGAAGCUAAGCAGGGUCGGGCCUGGUUAGUACUUGGAUGGGAGAAGAGAAUGGCAUAAUAUAGUCA